GCGACCAGGAGAGGGGAAGAACCCCCAAACCCUUAUUUCAUCUAAAUUGAUCAAUUGAAGGGUGAGUUGGGCAUAUAAUCACUGCAUGAAUCAAAAAUCUUGAUCACCUACACUUGUCUAACACUAGGCAACAUAAGCGAGGCGUCGGGAAGUCAAGCCGGUGCGGACGCUAGUUUGAAGGGAAAAACUUUGAGGCGAAUGUCGAUAGUCCCGGAUGAAGAU